rnacentral:rRNA from 1 species
GAUGAACGCUAGCGGCAGGCCUAAUACAUGCAAGUCGAGGGGCAGCGGUUCGGCCGACGACCGGCAGACGGGUGCGUAACGCGUAUGGAACAUUUCCCGGCCACCGGGACAGCCCCCUGAAAAGGGGAUUAAUACCGGAUGGUCCGCAGUGCAGGCAUCUGCAUAGCGGUAAAGAUUUAUCGGGCCGGGGUUGGCAUGCGUUCGAUUAGCUAGUUGGCGGGGUAACGGCCCACCAAGGCGACGAUCGAUAGGGGUUCUGAGAGGAUGGUCCCCCACACUGGUACUGAGACACGGGCCAGACUCCUACGGGAGGCAGCAGUAGGGAAUAUUGGUCAAUGGGCGGGAGCCUGAACCAGCCAUGCCGCGUGCGGGAAGAAGGCCCUCUGGGUUGUAAACCGCUUUUGGGAGGGGACAAAAGACUGGUGCGCCAGGGAUUGAGUGUACCUCCAGAAUAAGCACCGGCUAACUCCGUGCCAGCAGCCGCCGUAAGAC